rnacentral:lncRNA from 1 species
GUUACAGAUCAGCUCAAUUAUCUAUUGUAAAGGAUCCCACAAAUUAAUGCAAGAUACAAUAUAUAUAUAUAUAAACGAGUCUAAAUUUAAAACUACGUUCAAACCUAUGAUUGCGUUGGAUAAAAGCGCAAUUUUAUACGUGUGCAUGAAAGGCAAAUUUCGUUCUAGAAGGGUUUAAAAGCAACACAAACAACAUUUUCCAAAAGACCAAAAAAGUGAAAAAAAGUAUUUUUAAACAAAACGCAUUUGACUAACAGGUUGAACAACUGAUGUUCUUUAACCCUGCUGACUGCCAUUGGCGAUUGCCAAAUAAAAUUGCUCACAAGAUGUGACAAAAUGGAUCUUAAAAUGAAUUUAAUACUAAACAGAAGAAAUUUUUUUUUUAACUUGUGGCGACGAUGUAUGCCACAAACAUACGGUGUCAAUAUUUGUUUAGUACACCAGAUCCGGAUUUCGACAAUAAAUGUCUGUUCAGUGAUGUUAGGGAUCGAAACGGUAUUUGGAAGGCCAUAUAAAAAGUACCUUAAUUUUUAGAAAAAGUACCCUCAUUUUUAGAUAGACUCUUGAAUUUUAAGAGUCAAUAUAGGAUGAACGGGUCAUAUAAACCGGAGGGAAGCCCAAACAAAAAAAUAAAUAAAUAAACGAGUCUAAAUUGAAAACUACGUUCAACCUAUGAUUGCGUUGGAUAAAAACCGCAAUUUUUAUACGUGUGCAUGUAAAGCAAAUUUCGUUGUAGAAGAGUCUAAAAACAGCACAAACAACAUUUUCCAAAAGACCAAAAAAGUGAAAAAGUAUAUUUAAACAAAACACAUUUGACUAACAGGUUGAACAACUGAUGUUCUUUAACCCUGCUGACUACCAUCGCCAAAUAAAAUAGAUCACAAGAUGUAACAUAAUGGAUCUUAAUAUAAAUUUAAUACUAAACAGAAAAAUUUUGUUUUUAACUUGUGGCGACGAUGACAUACGGUGUCAAUAUUCUUUUAAUACACCAUAUCCUGAUUUCGACAAUAAAUGUCUCUUCAGUGAUGUUAGGGAUCGAAACGGUAUUUGGAAGGCCAUAUAAAAAGUAC